rnacentral:pre_miRNA from 1 species
UUUGAGUACAGGCAUGGUUUUUUCGCGCCCAAAUUUAAUCGUCCAUUUUAUUUAAUUUUUUUAAAAAAAUAAAAAACAUAAGUCUUGAGUAAAGUACUAUUCAUAUUUUAUCAUCUCAUAACAACCAAAAUACUAAUUAUAAAAACUUUUAAAAUAAAACGAACAAUCAAAAUUAAACGUUAAAUUUAUGGUCGCACUUAAA